rnacentral:rRNA from 1 species
UACGUAGGGUGCGAGCGUUGUCCGGAAUUACUGGGCGUAAAGAGCUCGUAGGUGGUUUGUCGCGUUGUCCGUGAAAACUCACAGCUCAACUGUGGGCGUGCGGGCGAUACGGGCAGACUGGAGUACUGCAGGGGAGACUGGAAUUCCUGGUGUAGCGGUGGAAUGCGCAGAUAUCAGGAAGAACACCCGUGGCGAAGGCGGCUCUCUGGGACGGUACUGACGCUGAGACGCGAAAGCGUGGGGAGCGAACAGG